rnacentral:rRNA from 1 species
AGAGCGAACGCUGGCGGCAGGCUUAACACAUGCAAGUCGAGCGGAUGUAGCAAUACAUCAGCGGCAGACGGGUGAGUAACGCGUGGGAACAUACCUUUUGGUUCGGAACAACCCAGGGAAACUUGGGCUAAUACCGGAUAAGCCCUUACGGGGAAAGAUUUAUCGCCGAAAGAUUGGCCCGCGUCUGAUUAGCUAGUUGGUGAGGUAACGGCUCACCAAGGCGACGAUCAGUAGCUGGUCUGAGAGGAUGAUCAGCCACAUUGGGACUGAGACACGGCCCAAACUCCUACGGGAGGCAGCAGUGGGAAUAUUGGACAAUGGGCGCAAGCCUGAUCCAGCCAUGCCGCGUGAGUGAUGAAGGCCCUAGGGUUGUAAAGCUCUUUGUGCGGGAAGAUAAUGACGGUACCGCAAGAAUAACGCCCGGCUAACUUCGUGCCAGCAGCCGC